UGGAGGGCUAUGAUGAAACAUGUAUUUUAUGACGGGAGGUCUUUCCAUAUGAUUAGUAUGUAAAACCAAUGGAUCCUUCUGAGCCCUCU
rnacentral:snoRNA from 1 species